rnacentral:rRNA from 1 species
GAAUAUUGCCCAAUGGGGGAAACCCUGAGGCAGCAACGCCGCGUGAACGAAGAAGGCCUUCGGGUUGUAAAGUUCUUUUCUGAGGGAAGAUAAUGACGGUACCUCAGGAAUAAGCUCCGGCUAACUACGUGCCAGCAGCCGCGGUAAAACGUAGGGGGCGAGCGUUAUCCGGAUUUACUGGGCGUAAAGCGCACGUAGGCGGCUCGGAAAGUUAGACGUGAAAGCUCCCGGCUUAACUGGGAGAGGUCGUUUAAUACUACCGAGCUUGAGGUUGAAAGAGGAGAGCGGAAUUCCCGGUGUAGUGGUGGAAUGCGUAGAUAUCGGGAGGAACACCAGUGGCGAAAGCGGCUCUCUGGUUCAGACCUGACGCUGAGGUGCGAAAGCGUGGGGAGCGAACGGG